GGUUACCUCAAGGGCGUGGGGCACUGAUGGCGAUUAUGAAGGUUACCUCAAGGGCGUGGGGCACUGAUGGCGAUUAUGAAGGUUACCUCAAGGGCGUGGGGCACUGAUGGCGAUUAUGAAGGUUACCUCAUGGGCGAUCGUUACACCGUCUCGCGCGUGCACAUGUCGGCGCUAACACACUCGUUGUAGAGAUUGCUCACAGUUCAUCAGCAUCGUCUGCGUGCGAUAGGCCCGCACAGCUAACGUACUCUUCACAGGGGGUCUCCGUACGUACAAACAAUUAAUUAAUGCCGGGAUAAGAGCUGUUAUCUUUACGUUUUGCUCUUAUUUUCUUCUCUCUGGAUGGUAGGUAUUUAGUGUGUGUGUGUGUGUGUGUGUGCGUGUGCGUGUGUGUGUGUGCGUGUGUGUAUGUGCGUGUGUGUGUGCGUGCGUGUGUGCUGGAAGCGAGGUCCUGUUUAUUGAAUAAAGUGACUUGAUAAUGUGCAAAGUAA